GUUAGGAAUAUUGGACAAUGGGCGCAAGCCUGAUCCAGCCAUGCCGCGUGAACGAUGAAGGCCUUCGGGUUGUAAAGUUCUUUAGCCGAUGAUUAUAAUGACUGUAGUCGGAAAAUAAGCCCCGGCUAACUUCGUGCCAGCAGCCGCGGUAAUACGAAGGGGGCGAGCGUUAUUCGGAAUCACUGGGCGUAAAGCGUGCGUAGGCGGUCUCGUAAGUUAGGAGUGAAAGCCCAGGGCUCAACCUUGGAAUUGCUCUUAAAACUGCAAGGCUAGAAUCUCGGAGAGGAUAGCGGAAUUUCCAGUGUAGCAGUGAAAUGCGUAGAUAUUGGAAGGAACACCAGUGGCGUAAGCGGCUAUCUGGACGAGUAUUGACGCUGAGGCACGAAAGCGUGGGGAUCAAACAGGAUUAGAAACCCCUGUAGUCC
rnacentral:rRNA from 1 species